GUGCUUGACCCUCCCUUAUUGUGGAGCGCCUGCAAUAAAGGCUCCUAGUACCCUCAGCCAAGGGCAGCUGGUCAAGGUUUGAGGCUCCAUUUCUUGUAUCUCCUUGCUUAGACCAACAGCUGUCUCAUUAGCUCCAGGGGAAGGCAGACAGAUCCUGCUGCCCAGCCCAAGGUGAAGACUGAUGUGUGCAGCCACUGACACAUCUAUGAAAAUCCUGGUUUUCACAGAAUGCAGCCAGACGGCAGGGGCCGGGAGCCGGGUAGACUUAUCCGAGGAACAAAGAGGACAGUUUGGCAGUGGCUCGAUGGACUGAGCUCGAAGAAUGGCCCGUCAGGGGAUGGCAUUUAAAUGGCGACCAGAGGCUGACAGUGGCCAAACCCAGGGUUUCAGGGCAAGCUAUGGUUGACGGAAACACCCAGGCUUCUGGGAGAGCCAAACUGCUAAAGAAUACAUCCUCAGUUCAGCAUGAUUUUCCACAGCUGAGGAGAGAGAUAGAGAUUUCACCACCCAAGCCCAGAGGGUAAGUUGGGUCAGAACAGGGUGGGACCCUGGUGGGCGGCUGAGCUACCUUUUUUUCUUUUCUGCAUUUUAACCACCGUCCGUGCCCAGAUGGGGACUGUAGGCUUGCAUGUCCCUGGCGGCCGGGAGGGUUUUUCUUUUCCGAAGAGGACGCAACCUCGCUCGGUCUUUUCUGGGGUAACUCAUACUGGAAAGCUCCUUCUCUUUCUUGGAAAGCUGCCUUUUCUACCCUCUCCUCCCUAUUCUGGGCUAUGGGGGCAGGAGGGGUCGAAAGGACACCAAUGGGACAGAAUUGUAAACGGCGACAUGUCAGCUAUGGGAGAAUUGUUAACAUCCUAAGAGAGGCCCUUCACAUCCACGCAUUUCGUCAGCUUAGUGGCCAUGUCGGGCCACUCACCUCUAGAUUUCCCCCUUGGCUUCUGCGAAGCUCCCCCUUCCCUUUUCCCCACGGACUUCCCCAAACCUUCUCCCUUGGGAAUGGCAGCGGCCGAGCCACCCCAAGCACCCUGCCGGACACUGUUAUCCUCCCUUAGGGGUGGCAUUGGCUGUGGCUCCCAGGGCGAGAUGCAGUGCACCCCGCACCCCCUCCCAAGAUGGUGCUGGCCACCCUGGCUACAGGGACCCCAUUUUCCCGCCUUGAUCCUUCUCUUCCACCCAAGUUUUCCCGCCAGCCCCAUCCCUCCCCCAAUGGCCCUGCACCAUCCUGCAACAAGGCCAGCCCCUAUUGGGGAGGAGGUGAGAUUGGAUUAAUCCCCCAGUCCUUCUUCUGGCCCCCCUCUGAUGGGAGGGAUCGCCGGAGGGGCCCCUCCAUUAGAGGUCCUUCCUUUGUAAGAGAGCUUUCCCCUUUGCUGCGGGGGAGGGCUCCCUUCGAAGGGAGCAGAGCUGGAAACCUGGACCACGGCUCCACUGUUUUCUUUCCCCUGAAACAGUGGCGCCCAGGUUCACCCCUAUCCCAUCUCCUAAAUGUACCUUGCCCAAAGUUCCCUUAUUAUUUCAAUACAAGUUUUCUCCAUUGCUUGUGCUAUUCUGGAAAUAAAUUCUUGGAUUGAGUUAUAUCUUAUAGAAGGAAAGAUCAUCCUCUCUAAUUACUGCCCACAAUGCUAUGCCAACUUCACAAUCAAAUAAUCAAAUUGGAGAAACCACGUCGCUGCUUCUGCUCUGCUAGAAUUCGAAAAACCACAAGCAUCUCGUCAUGAAUCCUGCUUUCAUCCUCGAUACAGAAUGUGUUUGUGAUAAUUUUGUACCCUUUAUCUUAAAUUGUAAUUUUUGCCCCAUUCACUGUAACUAUGAUUGAUGUAUCGCUUUCUGAUAUCUCUCAAAUUUGUAACGUUGCUAAUCUGUUUUUACCUCAGAACUCCCUUUCCUUUAUGUAAAUUCAAAAGAUUGAGUUGCGGGAUUUGUAACUUUCUCUUCUUCCCUCCCCAUUCCCCCACCCCACUCCCCCCGCAGUCCUUUGUCCCAACCCUGCAUUCCCUUAUCACUCCCCUGCGCCAUGUGGUCUGUCCUUGCCCCCCUCCCCGCCUUUCCCAUUGCUGCUCCUGCCUUCCCGGGGUCUCCGGGGUUUCCCUGCCCCUGUCCCCUGCCCUGUCCCCAUUGGCCGCGGCUCAGGUUCCCCCCCCACCCGCCCCCAGCACGGGGUAUAACCGACCCUUGUUCGGUGCCCCGGUGUCUCAGUAACUACCUUCUACAAUAAACACGUGUUUGCACCCGAGCCCUGUGUCGCCAUUUCAUCUGUUCCUGCGCUGUUCCUGCGCUAGAACUGAGCCUCAAAGAGCUGAAGGGGAAAAGCGGCCACCGCCUCUCCCCUCCUCCCGCCGUGCCUGCAGGUGCCCGCCUGGAGCCGGUCUCACACGGCAACAACAGAAUGGCUUUUUUUACUUAUCUAAGGAGUGCAUCCAUUAUGUCAAGACCUACCAUGUAUGUUUUUGACAUGCCUAUAAAGGACAUUAUUUUGCUGACUGAAGUGGUCUGCAAAAACUUACCAAAACAUACUCCUUAUACAUUCCUUCCCUAAAGUAUAGUUUAAGUAAUCUUAAUCUUUGAGGUAGUGAUGAAAGCCAGUUCAUUUUUGGGGCCUGAAGUGCAAAGUGGAGCUCUGUCUAAGCAAGGAAAGGCAGAUUUUUUUUUUUUUUUGCAGGUUAUGUGUUUUUCAAUGUGUGAAUGUGUAACGCAGACCACAAAUGUGAACCUGAUAGGUUUAUAUUCAGGUGUAUUUUCUCAAGGCCAGAUGUAUUUACCUUUAAUUUAUGCAGGUAAAUCCACCAUGCUGACUACUCACAGUCCAUUUGCAGCUAACAAAAUUCAGAAUGUGGCUUCAUUCACUGUAUUUUAAAAUAGAAAGAUAGCUUGUAGGCUUUGUGAAGUCCAAACAGAUACUGUCCUUAUUACCAAGUGUGGAACUCUCACAUCUCGAUCCAAAACACAGCUGUAAUAAUCAAAUCUCAUGGCAGUGUUUCCCCAGGGUGAAAAUACCUUCAUUGAAAUCGCAGUCCUGGACUGAUUGGACAUCCUUUUUCACUGAAAUAUUGCCAACUCUCGUCUUUUUGAGCAUGACUUCUGUAUUCCAUCUCUACAUAAAAAGAGCUGAGAUUAUGCAAAGAAACUAAAAGCAAAUAACCUUGAGGAAAUUUUAAUUAAUUUUGAGAUCUGGGUCUGGAGACUGUUGCUAAAUUUGUCCAAAUUGAUUCAUGCAUUACUUUUCCUCAAAUUUGUUUUUAGGCUGAAGCAAAGUGCUGCUGCAGUCUGGGACAACAUCUCCUCAAAUCUAGUUUCAGAGAUAGACUUUGAAGACAGGGAGAGGUCAUUCCAGACCACUCCCAGGAGAUGAACUUCAUAUUGUAGUGUGUUUCUUAGUACUCUGUUAUGCACAGUGCUUCCUGCUUUGAAUUUUGUCAUCCUAAUUAAUGGUCUUACUACAUAUGAUAGCUGCCAUUAUACGAUCAACAUAAUUUUUUAUUUCAAUGAUUCACAAGACAUUGAAAAUAAUACAGAGAUUCACAGUUCUUGGAAUAAUUUAUUUUUAAAGAUGCUAAAAAAAUAGAGUAUUAUGACUAUUUUAAAUUUCAAAUAAUUUGAGAUGCAAAUUUUUAAAAUUAUCAUAUUCCUCUUCAGGGCAGAGAUAUUGAUUCUUUGUUUUCUUGAUUGGUUCAAUUUUUAAUGCAUAAAAUUGCUUUUUUUUUUUUUUUCUUGCAAAACUUUUGGCAUUUCAGGUUAUAUUGUAGAUUGACUAAGGUGAGCAACUCUUUAACUUGUGUAACUUAAGCAUUUAUUACAAGAGUUUUAUCAGAAGUUUGUGCUAGAGUUUCUUCUUAAAGAUAGAACUCUGUUUCCAGGAAUCCAUAUCGAUUUUCUAGCCAGAUACAGGAAGAGUUACAAUCAAAUAAACAUCUGACAAUGACAAUUAAAAGACCUUAAUAAGUCUAUAAAAAUAAUUUCCUCUUUUGUCCAACCUUUACCUGAAAAUAAAGUAUAAAUUAAACAGUCUUAGUAUCAUCACUGUUUUUAGACCUCUUUCCCUUCAUAUUCUAUCAUUUGAAAUUUAUUGCACUGAAUGGGCAAUAGGCCAUCAUGGAAAUUUGCUUUCCUGAUAACACAUAAUGGCUAUUUUAUUGUAAUCAGUUUACAGGAUCACAUUUUGUUGUGGCUCCAGAAUGGUCCUACCUUCUCUUUUCCCUCCCCUCCCCACCUCCUCCCAAAAAUCAAAGUUAAUCAAGGAAUCAGAAAAGACAACCUUACUCAAAAUAAAACUAUGAAAAUAAGAAAAGUGAGUACACUCACAUCAACUCCUACAAAAUCAUUGGAGAGAAUACAUUAGGCUUUCUCCUAAAAUUUUCCUUCGAAGGAGGUUGAGGAAAGCAGUAGCAGAUACCUACGGAAAAUUUGUAAGGAGGGUUUUGCAUGUUACAAAUCAGCCAGAGGACUUCAUUAUUAUUCUGUGUAAAUGUUCAGAAAUGGUCUUAGCCUUGCACAGAAAAAUUAUUAGGAGUCAAGCAAAGAAAAUGAAAAAUACUGUGAAAGUCCAGCAAGAGGAGACGAAUUUUUUAUAUAUGUACACACGCAAGAGGAUUAAUUUUUUUAGAUAAAGGAUAGAGAGGCCAUCCUCAGAGUUUUAGCCCAAAGAAAUUUUCCAGGCUUUAAGAACUGUCCUUUUAAAGCUGCCUUGUUAAUGAUAGCAGCCAGCAGAUAGCAGAUAAUACACAUCAAUGACUUCAGCUUAGACAGUUGGGAUUUCAAUGUUCCGCUGCUGCAUAUCCUUUUCAAGAAAACUAUUCAUAAAAUAGAGGUUUCUUUUUUUUUUUUUUUUUUUUUUUUUUGGAAAGUGCUAUCAAACUGGGACCUCUUAAUUUAAAAGGAUUCAUUUUCUCUUUUUCUUUCUAAACCUUGUUAAGGAGUAUAAAAAUAACACAAUGUGAAACUGAUUUCCCCUAAAAGAUGUAAUGAAAAUGAAGCGGUGGUGUUGCAGAUUGUAAUCCUUCUGAAGAAUAAAAAAGCCAGAGUUGAAAGUGAAAUUCUGGCAUAUGCUGCCUGAGAUGAAAGUUACUGCAAAAGGUACUGGUAUUUUGACCUAAUGGAAGAUGUAAAGAGAAUAAUGAGGUUACAUGACCUCACAAUAGUUUUCAAAUCAGUGCUUUCUUAAAGGAGGAUUUUGUUGUCAGCAGCUGUCUACCAAUUACAUUAUUUAAUGAAAUACACACCCUAAACCAGUGGUAACUCUUGUUUCUCCCUUUCUAUUUUUAAAAUAGAAAUCAGAAGAAAGGCCUCAUCUUAACUUCAAGUAUGCUUUAGAUGGAUUUAAAGUAAGUUAAUUUGAAAUAACAGUAAAUAAUCCCCUACCAUUCAGUCACUGGUUUUACAUUCGUCUGUAAUUAUCUUUAAAUAAAUCUUUUACAGCAUGCUUAAUAUGUAGCAGUUUUUUCUUCUUUUACUACUUUAUGCCUCAGAUAAAAAUGACAUUUCUGUAAGGAAACAUAAGUCAUUAUUCUUUGCCUUUGGGGACGUGCUCAAGGAGACGUAUGAAUCGUUCAGGAAUUGCAAGUGCCAGCCAAUACAGAUUUUCACUGUGCUUCGCUGCCCUGUAUGCUCCCACUGCUUCAAAGUAAAUAGUUGCAUCCUGUCAGCCACCACUUGAUAAAUGUCUUUGAGGUGACACAAUAAGCUCCAUGAAAACAGAAUGAGAAAAUAUUAAGAUGAUUAAUGCUGGUGUAAAAACUGCAGUAGGAAAGAGGUGACUGGAUAAAAACAAACUCUUACCUCAGGAUCCCAUGGAUGUGUAUUUGUGCAAGGGACUGGGCUGGCACUUCAAAUAAGAGGUGUAUUCCCUUUUUUAUUUCCACCCUUAAAUAUGGCCCUUUUUAUCUUAAUAGCAGUUACUUCAAGUCUCUCUGUUAAAGGAAGAAGUCUUUCCAACUCGUUUUUCUAGAGGCACUUAAGGAUCAUUAACACUGAGGCAAAUGUUUUAUUCAUUUUGCCACAGACCAAUUUCUUUGUUAAGACUUUUGCAACAAAAUACUGCACAACUUAGCAGAGGUGUGAUUGAUUAAGCAUGAAGGAACAGAAUUAGGGCAUCCUGAUGAAUUUUCCCCAGUCUGCUCAGUUAAAAAAAAAAAAAUUAUUUGGGUAGUAACACUUGAAUACUAACUAGCUGACUUCAUCCAUUGAAGGAAAAUGGGUGAUGAUACCUUUAGGUUAAUAUUACUUGAACAUUUUGUUCUUGUAUAAUUUAUAAUUGUUAGUGAUUUGUCUGCCUCUUCACAAUUGUCUUUGUUCUUUGCUAAGGUGCUAUCAAUGCAGGCAGCAUUGGUCUGAGGCAGAAAGACAUGGUCCUCUGAGAACGAGUGUAACCAGUAACAAAGAUGCAGUUUGUGCAAGCACAGUUAGGUUGUGUGCUCAGUCAAAAGUGCUAUAUUAACAAAUCCCACACAUAAUCAGUAGAACAACAUCUGCUCCAGAGUUGCAGAAGCACAGGCUGGAUGGUCAGAGUUGUCCUGCUGCAACCCUGGGCCAGGAGCUGCCUUCCCACAGGCUGCUAUACCCUGACUGCUAAAUCUGGGACUUCAUAGAGUUAGGCUCUGCCCAGCAUACCUGUGAACAAGCCCUGCACCUGGUACCAGCAGACAAGCUUGUUUUCUUCUGCCACGGAGCUUUUUCAAGUAGCAUAUCCACUUGGAGUGGAAAAGACAGAAUUCUCUUGAGCUGACAAAAAUAUUUGGUAGAUUGCUUUGGAUACCUAUUGAAGAGAAAAAUCAAAAUCAACAGACACAUCAUUACAGAAGUUAGUAAUCCCUUUUCUUUCCCAAAAGGCUGGUCAAUCACUGGGAGAGGCUGACUGUCAAAGUGGAUGAGUCCUUAUCCCUGGAAGUGUUCCAAAACUGAGUGGAUGUGGCACCUAGAGACAUGGUUUAUUUGUGAACACGUGUUUGUGCUACAUUGAUGGUUGGACAUGAUGAUCUUAAGGGUCUUUUUCAAUCUUAAUGAUUCUAUGAUUUUAUUGUUCAGUGUUGGACCUGCUGGAGUUAGGCUAGUGGUUGGACUUGAUUAUUUUAGAGGUAUUUUCCAACCCUAAUGACUCUGUGAUUCACGUUGUGUUAUAAAAUGUUUAACACUUCAUUCUAAAUUAUACACAUUCAUCUUAUAAUAAUGAGAUUCAUAAAUGCUAUCCACAUAGAGCAAAGCAAAAUAUUUUGAUUUUUAGAUUUAAAGAGUGAUAAUUCUACAGAAAACUUCAUAAGAAUGAUGAAAUUUCAAUUAUUAUGUCAUGUCUUACCAUGUGCCAAGUGCCUUUUUCAGGUCAUCAAAAUCCAUGGCUCAUUUUGGUGCCUAUUUGCCUGUCUCAUCUGUGAGUAUUCCAGUCAACCUGCUAAAAUAUGUUUAUAUCUUGCUCUUAGUUGGCUUUUAAUGCUCUUUAGCACCAGUGGAUUAAAAAAAAAUCAAAUUCUUGGGGAUUUGAUUGAGGAGAAUGUGAUAUAAUUUGGACUGAACGUAAUCUGGACCUCUUUCAGUGCACUUGAGCCAAAGAGAAUUGAUUUGUAUUGGGCGUAUGUGUAAAAGUAUUUAAUGGGCUGACCUUUGUAGCAGAAAUACAUGGCUCAUUCUGAGGUGCCGGUGAUAAUAUAUUUCUAAAAAGAAAAUAGGGGGGAAAAGGUAACCAGACCACAUCAGUCAGAGUAGCCUAACUGAGCCAGGAAUGUGUCGUCUUGAAUUUCGUUCCUGUCAGAAACAUCUUAUAUUAUCAGCAAAGAGGAAAACCUAUUAUCAUUACUUUUACAUUUGUACAUGAUAUAAAAAC